GACGAACGCUGGCGGCGUGCUUAACACAUGCAAGUCGAGCGGAAAGGCCUCUUCGGGGGUACUCGAGCGGCGAACGGGUGAGUAACACGUGAGUAAUCUGCCUCUGGCUUCGGGAUAGCCACCGGAAACGGUGAUUAAUACCGGAUACGACGCAUCACUGCAUGGUGUGUGCGUGGAAAGUUUUUUCGGCCCGGGAUGUGCUCGCGGCCUAUCAGCUUGUUGGUGGGGUAAUGGCCUACCAAGGCUUCGACGGGUAGCCGGCCUGAGAGGGUGACCGGCCACACUGGGACUGAGACACGGCCCAGACUCCUACGGGAGGCAGCAGUGGGGAAUAUUGGACAAUGGGCGGAAGCCUGAUCCAGCAACGCCGCGUGAGGGAUGACGGCCUUCGGGUUGUAAACCUCUUUCAGCACAGACGAAGCGCAAGUGACGGUAUGUGCAGAAGAAGGACCGGCCAACUACGUGCCAGCCGCCGCCGUAAUAC
rnacentral:rRNA from 1 species